rnacentral:misc_RNA from 1 species
GGUUUUGUUCUUAGUCCUUCUGUUUUCUAAACUUUUUUUAUUCUGACACAUUUGGACCUCAUAUUAUGAGAAUGCUUGAAAGCUGUAUCACAAAAUUGGAAGAAAAAAAGAUGAAAUUUCCGUACUUCUUAAAAAAGAAGAAUGCAUGAAUGUUACGUUCGAAUGAAGUGCUUAAAGCACCUGAAGUUUCUUCUUAGGAGAAUGCAAGCAAGCUAUUUUCCUUUCCUUCAUUGUGUAUAAAGAAUUUAUUUAUUUUAUGAAAGUUAUCAAUUUUUAUCUUUUAUUCUUUAUUUUACUCUUGCAUGUGCUUUGUGAACAUUUUUUGUGAUAUUUGUCCCAGAAUCAUGUAAUAUAUGAAAAAUAUGUGUCAAAUAAAUGUCUUGAAAAAA